AACGGCUAUUUGAAGCUUCUGUUCAGAUCCUCCACCUCCCUUGCGUGCGCUCUGGGAAAAUUUCCCACUUUGUUCAAAAGAGAGUCGUAUUUUGUCGUCCGACAACAAUGCCGCCAGUGGUGCCUGCAAGUGGUGGGGGUGGCAUGCAUGCUCCCUCGACCUUUGACAAGUUUAAAAUGGGGGCAAUGAUGGGCGGAUCGGUUGGUCUCAUUAUGGGGUUCAUUAUGGGAACUGUUGCGAUAUUUCAAUACGGUGCCGGACCGAACGCGUGAUGCGCACCCUGGGCAAAUAUAUGAUCGGUUCGGGCGCAACUUUCGGAUUUUUUAUGUCGAUUGGAAGCGUUAUCCGAACAGAAGGACACCCCAACUCCUACCAAGUGUGGGCUAGAGCUCGAGGAGCUCCCAUGAUGAUUCCCCGACAGUACCACCCCCGCCCACGACACGAUUAGAUGUGAACAUGCAUAUAUGUGCAAUAGGAUAAGGAAGGCAUAUUCGGGGACUAGGCAUAUUUUACAACAUGUUAUAUUUAUUUAUUUAAUGGGAGCAGGAACCGCACCCGUGUAUCUAACAUCGACGAUUCUUCCCCUGGCAUGGGACCGAAGAAACAUUUCAUCUCAACACUCCUAGGAUAUGAGGUUGUUUUUUGACUAUGGCGUUCGCAGGAUGGAAAAAAAUGAAACAACCCCUUUGUACAAGUAGUCGAAAUCAUUAUCUUCACAAUAUUGUACGGUUUCGGAACUUCCAGUGACGAUCGAUCCAACAACUAACAAAGUGCCCGUGAUAUGUUGAUGGGCUAGCCAAAAAUUACGACCCCUUAGAGAUUAUUUUGAAUGACUCGCCUCGAUCUGCUCCUAUGUUGGGCUCGGGAGAAAUUGAUCGUCGACGGACAUUAGAACCGCGAAAUGAAGCGUUGCGCAAGUUGAACAUUGUAAAUUGCCCAAGAACGGGCGAAAUGUAAUAGUCUCGCACGGCAAUUAUGUCUGCAGAGUAUACACUGACUGGGCCAAU
rnacentral:sRNA from 2 species